GAUGAAGUGGCUGAAUUAUAAGCGGUAAAUUGUAAAUUUAUUUAUGAAUUUUUAAUUCCUUCAUCA
rnacentral:tRNA from 1 species